rnacentral:rRNA from 1 species
UACGGGGGGAGCAAGCGUUGUUCGGAAUCACUGGGCGUAAAGGGCGUGUAGGCGGUCCGUUAAGUCUGAUGUGAAAGCCCGGGGCUCACCCCCGGAAGGGCAUUGGAAACUGGCGGACUCGAGUCCCGGAGAGGAGAGUGGAAUUCCUGGUGUAGCGGUGAAAUUCGUAGAUAUUCGCAAGAACACCAGUGGCGAAGGCGGCUCACUGGCCCGGUACUGACGCUGAGGUGCGAAAGCGUGGGGAGCAAACAGG